rnacentral:rRNA from 1 species
UACGAAGGGGGCUAGCGUUGUUCGGAAUCACUGGGCGUAAAGGGCGCGUAGGCGGCUAGAUAAGUCGGGGGUGAAAGCCUGUGGCUCAACCACAGAAUUGCCUUCGAUACUGUCUGGCUUGAGACCGGAAGAGGUUAGUGGAACUGCGAGUGUAGAGGUGAAAUUCGUAGAUAUUCGCAAGAACACCAGUGGCGACGGCGGCUGACUGGUCCGGUUCUGACGCUGAGGCGCGAAAGCGUGGGGAGCGAACGGG